AUCAGUGCUGGAAUUUAAUAUUAAUUCUAGAUUGCUUUGAGAAUAGGUCGUAUGUGCAAAAGAGAGAUUCUCUUUGUUCACGCUCUCUUUCGCUAAUAGAUCGGCAAGUUUAGCAUUUUCUGCUACAUUUUCACUUUAGCACGCUAGACAAAGUUAUUGUCUUUAGAUAUCUGCCAAAAAAUCCAACAUAAAUUUGUGUAUAGCUUUGUAAUAAUCGAAAGAGAAUGUAACUGAAGAGAGGCUCUCUUUUGCACAUACGACCUAUUCUCAAAGCACUCUAGAAUUGAAGUUUCCGGAUAAUCGCAUCAUGAUGCCUCGUAUGCGACAACAGGAGAAAAUUCAUUCAGAUGCAGAAAUCCCAAGCAACGCUCAUAUUUUUUUCCAAGUCCUAUUGUUGCGGUCUUGUUUUCAGAGCAGUUCGGUGUCGGAAGCCGGAGAAAAUUACCGAGAAACCGGGAGAUAAAUAGCCCACAUAUUUCAACAUUAGUAACCGGAGGAAACGGCCAUAUCAGCAUGCUAAUAUACGCGGUCCGACAAGUGGCCCGGAAGAGGCCACCUUUACAAUAUUAUUUCGAGAGUUACCUUAAGCUUCAAACAAUCAAAUAAAACUAAAAAAAAUAA